GACGAACGCUGGCGGCGUGCCUAAUACAUGCAAGUCGAACGCACUCUCGUUUAGAUUGAAGGAGCUUGCUCCUGAUUGAUAAACAUUUGAGUGAGUGGCGGACGGGUGAGUAACACGUGGGUAACCUGCCCUAAAGUGGGGGAUAACAUUUGGAAACAGAUGCUAAUACCGCAUAAAACCUAACACCGCAUGGUGUAGGGUUGAAAGAUGGUUUCGGCUAUCACUUUAGGAUGGACCCGCGGUGCAUUAGUUAGUUGGUGAGGUAAAGGCUCACCAAGACCGUGAUGCAUAGCCGACCUGAGAGGGUAAAUCGGCCACACUGGGACUGAGACACGGCCCAGACUCCUACGGGAGGCAGCAGUAGGGAAUCUUCCACAAUGGACGAAAGUCUGAUGGAGCAACGCCGCGUGAGUGAAGAAGGUUUCGGAUCGUAAAACUCUGUUGUUGGAGAAGAAUGUAUCUGAUAGUAACUGAUCAGGUAGUGACGGUAUCC
rnacentral:rRNA from 1 species